rnacentral:rRNA from 1 species
AUUGAACGCUAGCGGGAUGCUUUACACAUGCAAGUCGAACGGCAGCGCGGACUUCGGUCUGGCGGCGAGUGGCGAACGGGUGAGUAAUGUAUCGGAACGUGCCCAGUAGCGGGGGAUAACUACGCGAAAGCGUAGCUAAUACCGCAUACGCCCUACGGGGGAAAGCAGGGGAUCGUAAGACCUUGCACUAUUGGAGCGGCCGAUAUCGGAUUAGCUAGUUGGUGAGGUAACGGCUCACCAAGGCGACGAUCCGUAGCUGGUUUGAGAGGACGACCAGCCACCUGGGGGUGGGGACGGGCCCAGGCCCCCGGGGGGAGGGACGAGGGGGGAUUUUUGGCAAAUGGGGGAAACCUUGACACAGCGACCCGGCGUGGGAGAGGAGGCCCUUCGGGUUGUAAAGAAUUUUGGGGGGGAAAGAACCUAAGCGGCAUAAAACCCCGAGGAACUGACGGUACCUGAAAAAAAAGCCCCGGCUAACUACGUG